UACGUAGGGUCCGAGCGUUGUCCGGAAUUAUUGGGCGUAAAGGGCUCGUAGGCGGUUUGUCGCGUCUGCCGUGAAAGUCCGGGGCUCAACUCCGGAUCUGCGGUGGGUACGGGCAGACUAGAGUGAUGUAGGGGAGACUGGAAUUCCUGGUGUAGCGGUGAAAUGCGCAGAUAUCAGGAGGAACACCGAUGGCGAAGGCAGGUCUCUGGGCAUUAACUGACGCUGAGGCGCGAAAGCGUGGGGAGCAAACAGG
rnacentral:rRNA from 1 species